CAUUGGGAAGAAGGCGGGCAGAGGCCCGAGGGUGCAGCGCACAUGCAGCCAUGCCGGCCGCCCUGGCCACGCCGCGGCGGUUCUCCCGCGACCCAAUGAGCCGGGUCGUCAUCUCAGUUCUCACGUCCCGGCCGAUGGAUGCUGCGUCCGCAUUCGGCUCAAGGUUAGAUGUCCUAUUUUGAAUAAGACGAACCCGUAGACAUAUCAUCAGUGUUAAAUAGAAAAAAGAAAUAUUAGGACUAGUUUGGGCAGUUCAUCUAGGGGUUGGAUUAAAGUUUUUUUUUCUCCUCAAUACAUACAUAGGAUGAUGGUGAGCAUGGGCCGUGCAU
rnacentral:lncRNA from 1 species